rnacentral:rRNA from 1 species
GAUGAACGCUGGCGGCGUGCCUAAUACAUGCAAGUCGAGCGAACGGACGAGAAGCUUGCUUCUCUGAUGUUAGCGGCGGACGGGUGAGUAACACGUGGAUAACCUACCUAUAAGACUGGGAUAACUUCGGGAAACCGGAGCUAAUACCGGAUGAUAUUUUGAACCGCAUGGUUCAAAAGUGAAAGACGGUCUUGCUGUCACUUAUAGAUGGAUCCGCGCUGCAUUAGCUAGUUGGUAAGGUAACGGCUUACCAAGGCAACGAUGCAUAGCCGACCUGAGGGGGUGAUCGGCCACACUGGAGCGGAGACACGGUCCAGACUCCUACGGGAGGCAGCAGUAGGGAAUCUUCCGCAAUGGGCGAAAGCCUGACGGAGCAACGCCGCGUGAGUGAUGAAGGUCUUCGGAUCGUAAAACGCUGUUAUUAGGGAAGAACAUAUGUGUAAGUCACUGUGCACAUCUGGACGGUACCUAAGCAGAAAGCCACGGCUAACUACGU